GACAGAGGGGGCAAGCGUUGCUCGGAAUUACUGGGCGUAAAGGGCGCGUAGGCGGGAUGGCAAGUCGGUCGUGAAAUCCCUCGGCUCAACCGAGGAACGUCGAUCGAUACUGCUGUUCUUGAGGAUUGCAGAGGAGACUGGAAUUCCCGGUGUAGCGGUGAAAUGUGUAGAGAUCGGGAGGAACACCGGUGGCGAAGGCGGCGACCUGGGUGGAUACUGACGCUGAGGUGCGAAAGCGUGGGGAGCAAACAGG
rnacentral:rRNA from 1 species